rnacentral:tRNA from 1 species
UACUAAUGACUUCCAAUCAUUAAGCCUUGGUUAAACCCCCAAGAGAAAAUA